rnacentral:lncRNA from 1 species
AAACUUUCAAAAUUAUUUGUAUGUUGAAACAGAAGAAAGUAACAUUUUUUCAGAAUUCCAGUAAUAAAUAUUUUAAAAACAAUUGGUGCUUAGUGCUUACUUGGUAAUUGGUAUGCCAUUAAACAAUGAGACUAGUAGUAGAAAAUUAAACAUUUUAUCUUUUAUUGACCAAAGCACAAGUUAUCUAUCCAAUCAAAAUUUGGCAUGGAAUAAUC